AGAAAGAAGCCUUUCCGCCUUCCUACUCUGUAACCCUGCUUUUCGUUUCCUGUGUGUCCUUUCAGAGCUCCUUUUGCUUUCAAAAGCAAAUACAAAUACGGGCAGCUUCUGAAUGGAUGGCCAAGUGACUCUGGAGCUUCCGCGCUGUGUGAGGGCUGGGCUUUCUGUCCCUGUUCACCCUCGAACCCAGGCUUCAGCCACCGCACGGGAGAAGAUGGUUCAGACCACACCUCUACCCUGACUCAGCACACACAGCUGUACCGUCAGGGGCUGCAAACCAACAUCUCUCAGGGCCUUCCUGGAAGCUGCGGCUGGACUCCCCUUGUACUCCAGGGGAGCAUCCCUGGAGGCCCAGGUCGGGGCUCCUGGAGGGUCCCUGGGUUCUGGGGGACAGAAGAACAGGGAGGAAGAAUCCAGAUGUGGCUCACUGGGCUCUGUGGAUCUGGCACUGGAACAGCUGUCCAGGCUUUGGGGCCCCCGACACCCCUGCUGCUCUCCCUCAGGCCCCAGAUCUGCUUGGGCCCCCAGUGGGCAACCGCUCGGUGCUGGCCCACCACAGGGAAAUAUUCCGGUGGAGGUAAGCUCUGUCCUGUUCUCAGAGAGCCCUGGCCAGGCCUGGUAGAUAAAUUCCAGGCCAAGCCAUAGGAUUUGGACACUGGGGCUACAGGAAUUCAAGAAAGAAGAAUAAAGAAGCAGCCUUGA
rnacentral:lncRNA from 1 species